rnacentral:lncRNA from 1 species
GCCGACCCUUUGCCAGAUCCUUCAUGAAACCAAACUUCUUCGAUGGAUUAUCUUCAGACGAGCUUCCACAUCAGGCGAAUCCCAGAUAGACUUCUCUAGCAAUCGGACUCCUAUCGGGCUUCACCAACGGAAAGUCUCCAUCCGAGCUUCUACUGCAGAUGACUCCCACUUGUAGUAUCAGCACCUAAGAUAUCCGAUAAUAGUAGACUCGUCAGCAGCUUCAGAGACAUCCGAGCUUCUCCCAGAUCGAUAGGAUAGAGAGCCAUUCC